UGGGGAAUUUUGGACAAUGGGCGAAAGCCUGAUCCAGCAAUGCCGCGUGUGUGAAGAAGGCCUUCGGGUUGUAAAGCACUUUUGUCCGGAAAGAAAUCCUUGGCUCUAAUACAGUCGGGGGAUGACGGUAACCGGAAGAAUAAGCACCGGCUAACUACGUGCCAGCAGCCGCGGUAAUACGUAGGGUGCAAGCGUUAAUCGGAAUUACUGGGCGUAAAGCGUGCGCAGGCGGUUUGCUAAGAACCGAUGUGAAAUCCCCGGGCUCAACCUGGGAACUGCAUUGGUGACUGGCAGGCUAGAGUAUGGCAGAGGGGGUAGAAUUCCACGUGUAGCAGUGAAAUGCGUAGAGAUGUGGAGGAAUACCGAUGGCGAAGGCAGCCCCUGGGCCAAAUACUGACGCUCAUGCACGAAAAGCGUGGGGAGCAAACAGGAUUAGAUACCCUGGUAGUCCACGCCCUAAACGAUGUCAACUAGUUGUUGGGGAUUCAUUUCCUUAGUAACGUAGCU
rnacentral:rRNA from 1 species